GAUGAAGAACGCAGCGAAAUGCGAUAAGUAAUGUGAAUUGCAGAAUUCAGUGAAUCAUCGAAUCUUUGAACGCACAUUGCGCCCGCCAGUAUUCUGGCGGGCAUGCCUGUUCGAGCGUCAUUUCAACCCUCAAGCCCCCGGGCCUGGCGUUGGGGAUCGGCGGAAGCCCCCUGCGGGCACAACGCCGUCCCCCAAAUACAGUGGCGGUCCCGCCGCAGCUUCCAUUGCGUAGUAGCUAACACCUCGCAACUGGAGAGCGGCGCGGCCACGCCGUAAAACACCCAACUUCUGAAUGUUGACCUCGAAUCAGGUAGGAAUACCCGCUGAACUUAAGCAUAUCAAUAAGCGGAGGA
rnacentral:misc_RNA from 1 species